GUUGUAGUAUAUUGGUUGAAAUCUGCAAAACAGUUGAGAAUCUUCAAGGCAUACCCUUUGCUAAAAUCCAAGUUCAUCAUCUCAACUCUCUGGCUGCAAUUAUAGCCGAUGCUGAGCAUGUUAAUAUUAGAGUUGAUUGGCUUCAAAACAGGCACGACAAACUCAAGGAGACUAUACUUAUGCUUAAUCAAUACCAGUCUUUAAAGUGUAGUUUACAAGAGAAGGAUGAAUUCAUCACAUCCACAAAGGAAGCAAUUGCUAUGAAGAAAGCUGAAAUAGUGAAGAUUCAGUCUGAUUGUCAGUAUCUAGAAAGCCAGCGAGAUUCGAUGGUACUAGAAAUUGAGAAGGUUAAUGGUGUUAUAAACACCGUUUUGUCCAAGUAUAUAUUUUUCAACCAAAAAUUUCUGGAUGGACUGUGUUAGGUUCCUUUGGUCACCCUUUUUCCUGAUGUUUUAUGUGAGAAAGCAUCUUCACAUAUUGAAGGUGAAUCUUCUGUACAUUUUGGCAUCCAGAUAUGCCUUUAUUUGAAGUAAAAUGGUAUAAAGAGAUCUUGUUUUCAAGAAAGCUGGCAGGAUGAAGCCAUAACAAGGCAUUUUAGCAUUAGCCCGAGGCUCAAAACCGGACAAAGAAUUGAGCAAAUCUGCCUGCUAAUGACUCUUUUAGAAGUAGUUUUAAUUAAUCUGCACAUUUUGAUUCAGAUUCUCCUAGUUCGCCUUUCUACUGUAUUUACUGUUGGUUACAUAUUGAUGUGUAUGAAAAUGUUCUUGACUAGUAAAAGAACUCUUUUGGAAGAAUAGAAUAUUGGGAUUUUUAAAAUCUGCUUUUGAUGCUGCCAACAAAUAUUUGAGCUUCAUUGUUUGUGGUUGAAAUGAAGCGUCAUCAAUUUUAUUUCCUCCCUCCUUUAGUCCAAUCAUGUUGAGUAUUGUUAUUAAAUUUUCUGUCAUGAGAAGGGAUUCAUGUUGAGAAUUGUUAGUUGAACUACACUUGUUUUCACAGGCUUGGAUCACAGAGAUGGCUUCUUAUUUGAAAUCUGUUGAUAGAAAGCAUUUACUAGAAGUUGGUUUGGAAGGGUUUUAUGGAGAGUCUGCACCUAAGGAGAAGCAAUUCAAUCUAAAAUUUAAACUAGGAACAGAUUUCAUUGCAAAUAAUAACAUCCAUGGCAUUGAUUUCAUUACGAUUCACUUGUAUCAUGAUCAAUGGUAACGCUUCCUUCCGACACUUUACAGAUUUAUGAUCGAUCAUGUACACAUGGAAAAAAAAACAUAGUUUCAUGUUCUUCCUCGAAAUGCCCAAUACAUUCUUUGAUUCAAAACCCUUGAAAGGGUAUGUUUAAUUAUUAUUUUCUAGACACAGAAAAUCAACUUAAAUACUCUUUACUGCACCAGACGUUUUGUCAACUAGCUCUAAAAUUAUUAUAUACGAAAGUGUUAUGUUGGCAGUGUGGAUUACAAGGUGCAGUCCAAGAACCCAUAUCCUUCAUAGACAUUUCAUCAAACAGAAAAGCUGCAUUUUCAGUCUUUUAGAAUCCAGAUGGGUUGAUUAUACUUUUUUAAGGCAAAAGUGACCACAAUGAACAAAUCCAAAUUAUCUUUAUUCUUAUGUCUUUUUUCAACAAUUUUUGACCAGCAAAUUCAAACUGUUUUUGAGAUUAUUUCAACAAUCAUAAAUUCAUAACAAUCAAACUAUUGUAAGAUUCUGAAUAAUCCAAAUAGUCAUUGGUCUUAAACUUUGAAACCACCGAAAGGUGUAAUUUUUGGAUCUAAUAAAGAAAUUUUAUGCAUUUAUAUAGAAAAUUGUUUACCAAUAAUGUAAUCAAAAUAACAGUUCAUAUAAAUGUGAGCCAAAAUAGAGAGAGAGAGAGAGAGAGAGAGAGUGACCGAACUUGUAUAGGUAAACAGCUUCUCUUCCAAAUCCGUUCAAUUCGACCUAGAUUCUGAACUUGUAUCGGUCUAUUUUGGCUGAAAAUGAGAGAACGCACAUCGACGAAGCUCCUAUGUUUUUAUCUGAUUCCUUCGCUAGGUCGAAAUCAUGAGAGAACGCACAUCGACGAAGCUGCGAUUUGUUGCUUGCACCGAAUCGGGUCAGGGGCAGGGACAUGUUUUGGCUGAGAGAGAAGAAAUCAACCAGGGCAGCAGGGCUUCGUUUUACUUUCGACUUGCUUUGGCGCUUGCAGAGAAUCGAAUUUUAGAGAAUCGGAUUUUUGAAAAUGAGAGAGAAAUAAGAGGGGAGGG
rnacentral:lncRNA from 1 species